AGAGUUUGAUCCUGGCUCUGAACUAACGCUCGUGGCGUGUCUUAGUCAUGCGAGUCGAACGAGAAAGCCUCCUUCGGGAGGUGAGUAGAGUGGCGAACGGGUGAGUAACACGUGGGUAACCUGCCUCUGUGUUGGGGAUAAUACUUCUAACGAGGUGCUAAUACCGAAUGAAAAGACGGGGCGCAAGCCUUCGUCUUCAAAGGUGGCCUCUGCUUGCAUGCUGCCGCAUGGAGAUGGGCCCGCGUCGUAUUAGCUAGUUGGUGGGGUAAUGGCCUACCAAGGCGAUGAUGCGUAGCCGGCCUGAGAGGGUGAACGGCCACACUGGAACUGAGACAAGGUCCAGUCCCCUACGGGGGCCAGCAGUCUAGAAAUUUGCACAAUCGACGAAAGUUGGAUGCAGCGACGCCACGUGGAGGAUGAAGCCCCUCGGGGUGUAAAUUCCUGUCAGAAGGGAAGAAGGCGCGGCCGUUAAUACCGGUCGCUGCUUGACGGUACCUUCAAAGGAAGCUCCGGCUAACUACGUGCCAGCAGCCGCGGUAAUACGUAGGGAGCGAGCGUUGUUCGGAUUUACUGGGCGUAAAGGGCAGGUAGGCGGGUGUGUAAGUCGGCUGUGAAAUCCUCUGGCUCAACCAGAGAAUGGCAGCCGAAACUGCACGUCUUGAGUCCAGCAGAGGGAAUCGGAAUCCUAGGUGUAGCGGUGAAAUGCGUAGAUAUCUAGGAGAACACCAGUGGCGAAGGCGGAUUCCUGGGCUGGUACUGACGCUGAGCUGCGAAAGCGUGGGGAGCGAACAGGAUUAGAUACCCUGGUAGUCCACGCCGUAAACGAUGGGUACUAGGUGUUGGAGGACAUUGACCCCUCCAGUGCCGUAGCUAACGCACUAAGUACCCCGCCUGGGGAGUACGACCGCAAGGUUGAAACUCAAAGGAAUUGACGGGGACCCGCACAAGCAGUGGAGCAUGCUGCUCAAUUCGACAACGCGAAGAACCUUACCUGGGCUUGACAUCCGGGGAAUCCUCUGGAAACAGGGGAGUGCCUUCGGGAACCCCGAGACAGGUGCUGCAUGGUUGUCGUCAGCUCGUGUCGUGAGAUGUUGGGUUAAGUCCCGCAACGAGCGCAACCCUUGUCCUUAGUUGCCAUCGGGUAAUGCCGGGAACUCUAGGGAGACUGCCGGUGAUAAGCCGGAGGAAGGUGGGGAUGACGUCAAAUCAUCAUGGCUCUUACGUCCAGGGCUGCAAGCGUGCUACAAUGGCCGGCACAAAGGGCUGCAAUGCCGCGAGGCGGAGCCAAUCCCAAAAAACCGGUCUCAGUUCGGAUUGAAGUCUGCAACUCGACUUCAUGAAG
rnacentral:rRNA from 1 species